GACGAACGCUGGCGGCGUGCCUAAUACAUGCAAGUAGAACGCUGAAGAGAGGAGCUUGCUCUUCUUGGAUGAGUUGCGAACGGGUGAGUAACGCGUAGGUAACCUGCCUGGUAGCGGGGGAUAACUAUUGGAAACGAUAGCUAAUACCGCAUAAAAUUGAUUAUUGCAUGAUAAUUAAUUGAAAGAUGCAACUGCAUCACUACCAGAUGGACCUGCGUUGUAUUAGCUAGUUGGUGAGGUAACGGCUCACCAAGGCGACGAUACAUAGCCGACCUGAGAGGGUGAGCGGCCACCCUGGGAGGGAGACCCGGCCCAGACUCCCACGGGAGGCAGCAGUAGGGAAUCUGCGGCAAUGGGGGGAACCCUGACCGAGCAACGCCGCGUGAGUGAAGAAGGUUUUCGGAUCGUAAAGCUCUGUUGUAAGAGAAGAACGGGUGUGAGAGUGGAAAGUUCACACUGUGACGGUAUCUUACCAGAAAGGGACGGCUAACUACGUG
rnacentral:rRNA from 1 species